UACGGAGGGUGCAAGCGUUAUCCGGAUUCACUGGGUUUAAAGGGUGCGUAGGCGGUUUUUUAAGUCAGUGGUGAAAGCUCGCAGCUUAACUGUGAAACUGCCAUUGAAACUGAAAGACUUGAAUACUUUGGACGUGGGCGGAAUACAUCAUGUAGCGGUGAAAUGCUUAGAUAUGAUGUAGAACACCGAUUGCGAAGGCAGCUCACGACAAAGCAAUUGACGCUGAGGCACGAAAGCGUGGGGAGCAAACAGG
rnacentral:rRNA from 1 species